UUUUGUGACCUCCAUAAACUUAUGGCCGUUUCUCCGACGCGGUUCAAACUCAGUUCAAUUUUUUUCAUAUAGUUACGAGAUAGGAUGAACCGAGUUUAAACUCGGAUUAACGUUGGAGAAAACAGGCAUUAACGUGAUAACUAAAAUUAGAAUCUCACCUUUCGGUGUUUGUUCGGUGGUUAUCUGUGGUGCAAUUGACACCUUUGCUAAUCAAAAGAACGAGUGAUAAUUUUUUCAAGUUAUACACAACUAUUUGCAACACAAGGAAACUCUUAGAAGAACGAGACUUGCAUUGACAAUUCAUGAAUAUUUGCUCAGUACCAACCUAUAAAUGUCGCCUUCGUUGAUUAAAAAUUAAAAAAUGAGAAGAUGUUUCGAGAUCUAAGAAAAAUUACCAUCAUUCUGACAGACUGCAGUAAACAUGGUCGUGAAGGUCACGAACGGUUACUCGAGAGAAUUAGCAACAUUCGAAUGCUUUUGUCUUUCACAAGGAAGCAAACUAAAUGUGCGCACUGGGCAUAAUGCUUUAUGAACCGUGCCGAUGGAUCCGUGAUUCCCUUGACCCAGCGUGGCAUCCAAUAGUACGGAAUGAAACUUUCGGCGUAUCCACCAAAAUGCUGCUCAAAAACUCGCCUGGAAAUCAUGAGGAUAGUGAACACGUCAACGGGGAAAAAUCGUCUGAAACUGCAAUUUAACAACGUUCACAAAAUACCUGUAAUAAUAAGCUUCCUUCGUUUUUGGUGUACAAUGCGGAAACGUAACUGGAGCCUUCUCCAGGUCAGAGUCUUGAACUCUUUCUUCAACGAUUUCUUGAAUGAUUUGGAACAAAGAUUUUUUUAUUGACGCUACACCAUCGCUGAAGGCUUCCUUGUGUCGCCAUAAAAUGUUUUGUGGCAGUAAAUUUAUUCCGUCGAACGAUGACCUCAGCAAAUGCUUCUCCACUCCGUCUUUGGAUAAAUAAACAAAAUGAAUAAUGGAA